rnacentral:rRNA from 2 species
UUAAGCGACUAAGCGUACACGGUGGAUGCCCUGGCAGUCAGAGGCGAUGAAGGACGUGCUAAUCUGCGAAAAGCGUCGGUAAGGUGAUAUGAACCGUUAUAGCCGGCGAUGUCCGAAUGGGGAAACCCAGUGUGAUUCGUCACACUAUCGUUAACUGAAUACAUAGGUUAACGAGGCGAACCGGGGGAACUGAAACAUCUAAGUACCCCGAGGAAAAGAAAUCAACCGAGAUUCCCCCAGUAGCGGCGAGCGAACGGGGAGCAGCCCAGAGUCUGAAUCAGCUUGUGUGUUAGUGGAACGGUCUGGAAAGUCCGACGGUACAGGGUGAUAGUCCCGUACACCAAAAUGCACAGGUUGUGAACUCGAAGAGUAGGGCGGGACACGUGGUAUCCUGUCUGAAUAUGGGGGGACCAUCCUCCAAGGCUAAAUACUCCUGACUGACCGAUAGUGAACCAGUACCGUGAGGGAAAGGCGAAAAGAACCCCGGCGAGGGGAGUGAAAAAGAACCUGAAACCGUGUACGUACAAGCAGUGGGAGCACCUUCGGGUGUGACUGCGUACCUUUUGUAUAAUGGGUCAGCGACUUAUAUUCUGUAGCAAGGUUAACCGUAUAGGGGAGCCGCAGGGAAACCGAGUCUUAACUGGGCGUUAAGUUGCAGGGUAUAGACCCGAAACCCGGUGAUCUAGCCAUGGGCAGGUUGAAGGUUGGGUAACACUAACUGGAGGACCGAACCGACUAAUGUUGAAAAAUUAGCGGAUGACUUGUGGCUGGGGGUGAAAGGCCAAUCAAACCGGGAGAUAGCUGGUUCUCCCCGAAAGCUAUUUAGGUAGCGCCUCGUGAAUUCAUCUUCGGGGGUAGAGCACUGUUUCGGCUAGGGGGUCAUCCCGACUUACCAACCCGAUGCAAACUACGAAUACCGAAGAAUGUUAUCACGGGAGACACACGGCGGGUGCUAACGUCCGUCGUGAAGAGGGAAACAACCCAGACCGCCAGCUAAGGUCCCAAAGUCAUGGUUAAGUGGGAAACGAUGUGGGAAGGCACAGACAGCCAGGAUGUUGGCUUAGAAGCAGCCAUCAUUUAAAGAAAGCGUAAUAGCUCACUGGUCGAGUCGGCCUGCGCGGAAGAUGUAACGGGGCUAAACCAUGCACCGAAGCUGCGGCAGCGACACUAUGUGUUGUUGGGUAGGGGAGCGUUCUGUAAGCCUGCGAAGGUGACCUGUGAGGGUUGCUGGAGGUAUCAGAAGUGCGAAUGCUGACAUAAGUAACGAUAAAGCGGGUGAAAAGCCCGCUCGCCGGAAGACCAAGGGUUCCUGUCCAACGUUAAUCGGGGCAGGGUGAGUCGACCCCUAAGGCGAGGCCGAAAGGCGUAGUCGAUGGGAAACAGGUUAAUAUUCCUGUACUUGGUGUUACUGCGAAGGGGGGACGGAGAAGGCUAUGUUAGCCGGGCGACGGUUGUCCCGGUUUAAGCAUGUAGGCUGGUUGUCCAGGCAAAUCCGGAUAAUCAAGGCUGAGGUGUGAUGACGAGGCACUACGGUGCUGAAGUAACAAAUGCCCUGCUUCCAGGAAAAGCCUCUAAGCAUCAGGUAACAUCAAAUCGUACCCCAAACCGACACAGGUGGUCAGGUAGAGAAUACCAAGGCGCUUGAGAGAACUCGGGUGAAGGAACUAGGCAAAAUGGUGCCGUAACUUCGGGAGAAGGCACGCUGGUGUGUAGGUGAAGUCCCUGCGGAUGGAGCUGAGACCAGUCGAAGAUACCAGCUGGCUGCAACUGUUUAUUAAAAACACAGCACUGUGCAAACACGAAAGUGGACGUAUACGGUGUGACGCCUGCCCGGUGCCGGAAGGUUAAUUGAUGGGGUUAUCCGUAAGGAGAAGCUCUUGAUCGAAGCCCCGGUAAACGGCGGCCGUAACUAUAACGGUCCUAAGGUAGCGAAAUUCCUUGUCGGGUAAGUUCCGACCUGCACGAAUGGCGUAAUGAUGGCCAGGCUGUCUCCACCCGAGACUCAGUGAAAUUGAACUCGCUGUGAAGAUGCAGUGUACCCGCGGCAAGACGGAAAGACCCCGUGAACCUUUACUAUAGCUUGACACUGAACAUUGAGCCUUGAUGUGUAGGAUAGGUGGGAGGCUUUGAAGCGUGGACGCCAGUCUGCGUGGAGCCAACCUUGAAAUACCACCCUUUAAUGUUUGAUGUUCUAACGUUGGCCCCUGACCGGGGUUGCGGACAGUGUCUGGUGGGUAGUUUGACUGGGGCGGUCUCCUCCCAAAGCGUAACGGAGGAGCACGAAGGUUAGCUAAUCCUGGUCGGACAUCAGGAGGUUAGUGCAAUGGCAUAAGCUAGCUUGACUGCGAGCGUGACGGCGCGAGCAGGUGCGAAAGCAGGUCAUAGUGAUCCGGUGGUUCUGAAUGGAAGGGCCAUCGCUCAACGGAUAAAAGGUACUCCGGGGAUAACAGGCUGAUACCGCCCAAGAGUUCAUAUCGACGGCGGUGUUUGGCACCUCGAUGUCGGCUCAUCACAUCCUGGGGCUGAAGUAGGUCCCAAGGGUAUGGCUGUUCGCCAUUUAAAGUGGUACGCGAGCUGGGUUUAGAACGUCGUGAGACAGUUCGGUCCCUAUCUGCCGUGGGCGCUGGAGAAUUGAGGGGGGCUGCUCCUAGUACGAGAGGACCGGAGUGGACGCAUCACUGGUGUUCGGGUUGUCAUGCCAAUGGCACUGCCCGGUAGCUAAAUGCGGAAGAGAUAAGUGCUGAAAGCAUCUAAGCACGAAACUUGCCCCGAGAUGAGUUCUCCCUGAGACUUUAAGUCUCCUGAAGGAACGUUGAAGACGACGACGUUGAUAGGCCGGGUGUGUAAGCGCAGCGAUGCGUUGAGCUAACCGGUACUAAUGAACCGUGAGGCUUAACCUU